AAUUUUUACAAAAUUCCUACACAAACAAUGCCGUGGCAUUAUGCCACAGCACACUCACGAAAUAAAAUAUCUGGGUUUUAAAACCCAACGGUCGCAUCAUGUCUCCUUCAUCUUUCAACUCUCUUUCACUCGAACUUCCUUCCUUUUUCUCUGAACACCUCGAUACCCCAAUCAAUCAUCGUUCUAAGCACUUUUCUAACACAAUUAAUUCGUCUUUUAAUCUUUUUUUUUUUUUUUUUUUUUUUUUUUCGCUAGGAUUUACAACACAAAACUCGUGAAUUCAUCACUCGGUGGAGUUAGGGGUUGCGAAUUGGGGAGUUUGACAUUAAAGGCAAAUUCGUGAGAUUCUUGUGUGAGAGAGAUUCAAACCAACACAAGUAUUUAGGUGCUGAAAAAUGAGGAUUUCAAGCAUGCACGUUGAAGAGUAAAGAGACAGAAUCAUACAGGAGUGAACGUUUCAAGAAUCGAAGCUCAAACGAAGAAUUUAUGAAUAUUUGAAGAUUGUUGCAGCGGAGGAUUUUUGUGCCAUGGUGUGAAUGAACACGCUGCACUAAAAUGGGUGUAACUUUACCUACACAACUCCGAUUGACUUGAUUCUGGUGGCAUUUGAAAUAUACGAGAUAAAUCUAUAAUUUUAUAUUA